rnacentral:sRNA from 1 species
CUGAAAGCCUCUGAGACAGAAGUCUUCUGUUUGUCCACUUAACAGGUAUAGUACAGGGCAAGCUUCCCCUACGGGCAGCUGCACCGAUGUGCUUGCCCCGCUUCUGGAGAUGUCACCUCCAGGGGAUUUGCAGGAGGGUUAGUUCUGAGGCCUGUUGACCUCAGUGCUGAU